rnacentral:rRNA from 1 species
CAAGUCGCACGAGAAAGUGGAGCAAUCCAUGAGUACAGUGGCGUACGGGUGAGUAACACGUGGAUCAUCUACCUCUUAGUGGGGAAUAACCCUGGGAAACCGGGGCUAAUACCGCAUAAGCUCGAGAGAGGAAAGCAGCAAUGCGCUGAGAGAGGAGUCCGCGGCCGAUUAGCUAGUUGGCAGGGUAAAAGCCUACCAAGGCAAAGAUCGGUAGCCGGCCUGAGAGGGCACACGGCCACACUGGCACUGAAACACGGGCCAGACUCCUACGGGAGGCAGCAGUGGGGAAUCUUGCACAAUGGGGGAAACCCUGAUGCAGCGACGCCGCGUGAGCGAUGAAGCCCUUCGGGGUGUAAAGCUCUUUCGGCAGGGACGAUCAUGACGGUACCUGCAGAAGCAGCUGCGGCUAACUACGUGCCAGCAGCCGCGGUAAUACGUAGGCAGCGAGCGUUGUUCGGAGUUACUGGGCGUAAAGGGUGUGUAGGCGGUUGCUUAAGUUUGGUGUGAAAUCUCCCGGCUCAACUGGGAGGGUGCGCCGAAUACUGAGUGACUCGAGUGCGGGAGAGGAGAGUGGAAUUCCUGGUGUAGCGGUGAAAUGCGUAGAUAUCAGGAGGAACACCGGCGGUGUAG